rnacentral:rRNA from 1 species
GUGUCAGCAGCCGCGGUAAUACAGAGGGUGCAAGCGUUGUUCGGAAUUAUUGGGCGUAAAGCGCGUGUAGGCGGCCACGUAAGUUGGGUGUGAAAGCCCUCGGCUUAACCGAGGAAGUGCGCCCAAAACUGCGAGGCUUGAGUACCGGAGAGGAUGGCGGAAUUCCCGGUGUAGAGGUGAAAUUCGUAGAUAUCGGGAGGAACACCAGCGGCGAAGGCGGCCAUCUGGACGGAUACUGACGCUGAGACGCGAAAGCGUGGGGAGCAAACAGGAUUAGAUACCCUGGUAGUCCACGCUGUAAACGAUGAGCGCUAGGUGUUGCGGGUGUUGACCCCUGCAGUGCCGCAGCUAACGCAUUAAGCGCUCCGCCUGGGAAGUACGGCCGCAAGGCUAAA